GAGCAGGCCUCGUGAGCGUUACACUGGCGGUUGCCUUCUGUCUCUGAGGGGAUAACAUGUUAGCAGAAGGGUUUGCCUUCCCAAAUGUGUGCUGUAUUCCUCCCACCAUCACAGCCACUGGCUCUCUCAUUGUAUUUUUCUGUGCAAGCUGUGAAAGGUGACGUCCCUCGCAGUAAUACAGCAUGGAACUCCUUGGGCUGCAUAGGAAGUCCCUCCUACAGACAAGGACAAGAAGAGGACAAAGAAGAAACAAUGAUAAAUCUGAGCAGAUGACAGUGACCAUUCAGCAAACAAGGUGGUGCCCCCCCAUAACACAGAGUAUUUGUUGGUUACAUAUAGCACAGUGCUCAGUCAAUGCAGGCUGUGUUAACAAAAGCUCACCAAUUCACUGGUCACAUGUCCUAGGAGUUAUGGGAGACUGGAAAGUUGCCUGGUUCAUAUGGGGUGUGCAUAUACAUAUAUAAAAUCUUAUGAAUUUACAUGUGCAUUUGUGUCUGUGUACCGUGACUCUGUUUUAUAAUCAGCAAUGAUCGUUUGCUCCUUGAGGCUGGCAUCCUGUGUGUACUUGGGCGGACUCCAUUGCGUUUUAUUUCAGGAGAGCUCCUGUAAUGUGAAAAGUGCAUCUUUAUGAGGAAAGUUAGACCUGCAGAAGGACACACAUUCUUCUCCUCGACUGGGCUUACAUCCCUGCGGCCAUUGGCCCCCCCAGCUCUCGUGCCAGGCACAGCGAGCAAUGCUGCAGACAGGCUGAUGGAUCCUUGUUUUGCCCUUGGAGCUGCCAGCGAGAGCACACUCAGAUUCUAUUCGACAACAAACCAACAGGAUGUUUCUUAUUGCUACAGAAAGCUCCAGAAGAGUAGAUCCAGAGUGCACCGUUUUUGCAGUUGCCUGAUUUGAGAGGUGGGGCGGACCCAGGGCUUUCUGGGCUUGAUGUGGCAGAAGCCACCAGGUUGUACCAGGCAGGCCGUGCCACAGACCUCUGAGUACUUGCUUCCCUCACGACAGGUGUGUACAUCUGCAGUGCAGAUUAUGCAUGGGGCACAUUGUUAUUUGUUUCUUUUCUGCCUGGAAAAAUAUUUUCCUUUUAUGUAGCUCAGUGUCAUCUAAAUGAAUGAGUGCUGCCUUUCUGUCAUUUUGAAGCACAAGUAGAUUCUGCAGACACAUAUUGCAGCACGUAGCAUUCAGUGUUUAAGCUGUCUGUUUGAGCUCUACCCGAACACCGUGGCCUUGAGAUGAAUGCGUUAUACCACAGAAUAAAUUCAUUGCAGAG
ensembl:lncRNA